UACGGGGGGAGCAAGCGUUGUUCGGAUUUACUGGGCGUAAAGGGCGCGUAGGCGGUCAGCACAAGUCAGUUGUGAAAUCUCCGGGCUUAACUCGGAACGGCCAAGUGAAACUGUCAAGCUAGAGUGCAGAAGGGGCAAUCGGAAUUCUCGGUGUAGCAGUGAAAUGCGCAGAUAUCAGGAGGAACACCGGUGGCGAAGGCGGGUCUCUGGGCCGUAACUGACGCUGAGGAGCGAAAGCAUGGGGAGCGAACAGG
rnacentral:rRNA from 1 species